UGUUGAGGAAGAUAAUGACGGUACUCAACAAGGAAGUGACGGCUAACUACGUGCCAGCAGCCGCGGUAAAACGUAGGUCACAAGCGUUGUCCGGAAUUACUGGGUGUAAAGGGAGCGCAGGCGGGAAGACAAGUUGGAAGUGAAAUCCAUGGGCUCAACCCAURAACUGCUUUCAAAACUGUUUUUCUUGAGUAGUGCAGAGGUAGGCGGAAUUCCCGGUGUAGCGGUGGAAUGNGUAGAUAUCGGGAGGAACACCAGUGGCGAAGGCGGCCUACUGGGCACCAACUGACGCUGAGGCUCGAAAGUGUGGGUAGCAAACAGGAUUAGAUACCCUGGUAGUCCACACCGYAAACGAUGAUWACUAGGUGUUGGAGGAUUGACCCCUUCAGUGCCGCAGUUAACACAAUAAGUAAUCCACCUGGGGAGUACGACCGCAAGGUUGAAACUCAAAGGAAUUGACGGGGGCCCGCACAAGCAGUGGAGUAUGUGGUUUAAUUCGACGCAACGCGAAGAACCUUACCAAGUCUUGACAUCCCKUGACGAUGCUAGAAACAGUAUUUCUCUUCGGAACACAGAGACAGGUGGUGCAUGGUUGUCGUCAGCUCGUGUCGUGAGAUGUUGGGUUAAGUCCCGCAACGAGCGCAACCCUUAUGGUCAGUUACUACACWCGAGGACUCUGGCUAGACUGCCGUUGACAAA
rnacentral:rRNA from 1 species